GUGGCAUUCAACUUCUCUCUGUGCUCUUCAAGACAAAACUCCAAAUCUCGAAUCUUCUCUCCCUGAGCCUCCACCUGGUCUGUUAACACACUUACCUGUCCAAAACAAAAACAAAAACAAAACCCAGGGAAUUCAAAUUCCAUGAGCUCUUUGAAGAUGACACAGAUCACAGAUGCGUUCAAAGUCAGGGGGCAACUCAAUAUACCCAAAGGUGCAUGAGGAGCCGUUGGGCUAGUCCUUCAACUCUAGUGCUUAUAGAUUUGAUUAUUUCUUUACCUCCUGCUUUUAGCCUAAUUGGUAUUUUAGUGAGCUCUCUUUACUACCUGAUUGGUCGGGUGUGAGCUCAGUUACAAGCCCCACAUUUAGAAGUGGGUGUGGUCACCUUCCCCAGCUAGAAAUCCUUUUUACAUCAACUUCCUUUUAAUUAUGAAGUAUUAUAAUCAAGCAUAAAGACAUAAUAAAUGUUAACAUCUUUCCUUUGUGUCUGUUUAAAAAAUGUUCUUUAUUACAGAAAAUUUCAAAUAGAUUUAAAGUAGAGAAAUGCACGUGAUGAAACCCCAUGCACUUGCCAUUCCAUUUCAAUAGUUAUUACUUCACGGAAGGUAGGAGUCUCACCCGCUGUUUUUACUUAUAACAUCAUGCUGUGUUUUCCUUUGAUUUUCUGGGUUCUAUUGGUUUGCAUUGGUCUACAGUUGUCUUUCCUGUUUCCCCUUUGUUUCGCUUUGUUCUUUCCUGAGCUCUGCUGUCCUGUCUAAAUCCAAAAUCAACAUACAAGCAGUGAUUUGACACAAUUAUGCUUAUUUAUUUUAUAAAACAGAAACUAAUUUUGAGUGUAAGAUUCCUAAAUCAGAAUGGUAAGUAUCUAAAUUAAAAUGGGGAAAAGAAAACAGCCCCCUUUUAAGGUCAACAAAUGUUAAAGCAUAGC
rnacentral:lncRNA from 1 species